UGUUCUGUGGCUUAGUUGGUUGAAGCGCCGGUCUAGCGAAUACGUGUGUUCGAAGUCGUGGGUUCGAAUCCCACUAGAACGC
rnacentral:tRNA from 1 species